CUUGGGGAGCGGUUCCGUAUGAGGUGCACGGUCACCCCGCAGUGACAUGGAGCUCGGUGGUCCUGCGGGCCAGAGGGGGUAAAAACCUCUCCAUUGUGGCACAAGGUGGUUAUGGUCCAUGGAGUUUGGAGCUUCCUACGUAGAGAAAGCGCUCAAGGAGCAAGUCACAUUUUCCAGAGGGUUGUGUAUCUGGAGAUGAGUAACUGCUGUAGCCUGAGUCACGGUGAAGAAGGGAGCGAUGAGGAAUGACAGGGAGGGAUUGCCGAGAUGAUGGUGGCAGAGCAGAAACAGCAGCAGCCCUACAGCAAACAUUUUGUCUUGCUUUCUACAGGUGGGAUCCAGCACCACUGUCAAAUGAGACAUGGAUUCCUUAUCUUCAUCUUGUAAUUACCCUUGUGAAAACACCCAGGGUUUAUGGUGGAUGGUAAACUUGUCAGCAGCUCAGCUGGGCUGAGGUUUGGUAUGUCUGAAGUAACUGAGUUGUGUUUGUGAUUAGGCUUUGAGAUAGACUUAGUGGAUAAACUUCCUCUAUCAGCUUCUUAACUAAGUAUUUGAGGAAUGUGUUUGAACUUGAUUACGGAGAAUUCCAGUCCAGUUGAUUCCAGUGGACCUUGGCUCUUCACCAUUGAUCCAGGCAGGAAAACACACUGUAAACCAGAGCUAAGCCUUCAGGCAAGGCUUUUAUUUUAAAUCCUUGAGGCUGUUGGAGGUUUCUCUGACCUGAGAGAAGCUCAGCUAUUAGAAGAGAGCUUUGUUAAGCCACAGUCACAAAGCAAAGCAAACCAAAGUCUUAGCUGCCCUCUUGCUGAGAAAUGAAGCAUAAGGUGGUCUUUGGUAUUGGGGGGGCUCAGAUACAUCCUUGAAGAAUGAGAGCGGAGGGCCAGAUGGGACCAACACUGAGGAGGUGGCAGCACAAAUGCAGGUGGCUGUAGCAGUGGGAGCCGAACUCCUGAGCUGUGCCCAUUGCAAGAAGAAGGAAUGUGAUAGAAAAGAUUCUGUGUCUGCAGGAAGGGAAGGAGGAACCAGUGCAAGUCAGUUCAUGUUUUACUCUGGAUGAUGUUGGGGAUUUCCAGCUGCACCUUCUGGACUGGGAGCAGAGAUGGCCAGGAGAGAGCAAGUGUGUUGCGUGAAUACAAACCCAUCUUGGGGCUAUUAAACUGGCUUUCAAGCCAUGGCUUGCAGAGGAAGCUGCCCUCCCUGUGAGUGUGCAGGGAGCUGAUGUGGCUAUGGUGGAGCUGGUGUGCUGGUCGGUGUGGGAGGGUGCUGUGUGCUGUAGGUGGAACUCUGUGGCCUGGAGCCAGGAGUGAGGCUGUACCACUCACAGCAAUCAGCUCAUGCUCAGGAAAUGCUAUCUGAGCAGUAGCACAAACCAUCCCGUAAAGGAAGGGUGCUGGGGAGAGCUUAGCUUCAUUCCCAGCCUCCUAGGGAGGGAUUUGGCAGCUCCAGCCCAACAGAUGCUUCUGUCUGGUGUUGCUGCAGAGAAGUGGGAUGGGGGUGUCCAAAACACCCUAAUGCUUCGGAGACAGGAGGAUCCCUCUUUGAGUAGUGUGCUUACUGCAGACGAGGCCAAAUGUGUGUGCUGGAAACUGUAGGCACAGGAAAAACACAGCUUUGUCGUGUGAUUUGGGCAGGUGCUUACCUCUGUGCAAGCACCAAAAAAUGGCUUGUGGUAAUUUCACCUUUUAAAACCCGGUAGUUGGAAAGGUACCAGGCAGAGAGAGCUUGAUGUGGUGCUGAGCCAGCCUGAGACACCCCAUGCAACACCGUGCUGACACUCACCUUUUGUUCUUCACAUCCCUCUCAUUUGGCUGUUGCCGCAAGGAACUCUUCUUCUGCCUCAUUUCCCCUGGCCCAGCUUUUCUCCUGCUCAGCAAACUCACCAUGUGCUGAAGGACUCUUGGGGGACUUUGCACCUUUGUAGACACCUUUUUGCUGGAGGAAACAUGAGGUGUCGAUCUCUGUCAGUGCAGCAGGAGCAAAAAGGAAAACAUCUCCUAUGACAGGGUUUGAUUGCCAGCUGAAAGUAAGCAGAGUGCCUGUCAGUGACAUGUGAGCACAAAAAGGCUUUGCAGAUGGAAAUAAAGGCAAUGUUUUUUCCUCCUCCCCUGCUUUGCCUCCCCUGCAGUGCCAGCGAGGCAUUGCAGAGCCAGAGAGCCUGUUGGAUCGGGAUGCACAGUGCUCUUUGGACUCUUCUGUUUACUUAAAAUGGUGUCUAAAAGCGUAAUGGGCACUUUGGAGAUCUCUAAAUAGAGCAGCCUCUGUCCUGAAGAGCUGACAACGUCAGGAGACAAGUGCCAGGGGUGGGAGAGUGGCUGCAUCACACACACCAGCCGAGGAAGUGGCAUGUGGCCCACCUGCUCAGUAUUUUUCCAUCACAUUUCCAUUCAGCUGUUCCUUUCCAGCUUCCAGCUCCGCCACUCUCCUCAGCAGCUUCUGCUCUGGGUUUAUUUAGCACGCUAUUUAUUUCCUAAUUAUAGAACUUAACUGACUAACCUCAGCCCUCCUGGGUUACUGCACUCCACCUUUUCGUCCCCUGUAGAACAGAGGCUCUGCUCUCUUCUGAUGGCUGAAGGUAGUUGCUAGUGACUUUAUAUCUCUCUUCUUUUGUUGUUUUUCUACCAAACCCAACAGGGCUCUGGCUGCUGACACAGGGACCUUCAGUGAUCAUUUCAGAGGAGAUUGGCUACUGCAUUCCCAAAUUCUUUAAACCAGAAAUGCCACUGAGCUGAGCACUUUACCAGGCUGUGCUCUGCUGCUUCUCUCCACGAAUUCCUAACAGCCAGCUCACUCCUUUUACCCUGCAUGCAGACACAUCUGGCUGGAGGAUUUGAAGAGGGUUUGAAAACCAUUCCCCAGCAUCAGCAAUGCUUCUGGAAGCAUCGUGGCACUUUCAGCACUGCCUGGCUCCACAAGCAGACUCUGUGCUCUAGGGGGAGGGUCUGUCUCUGUCUCCCUGAGAUGAAGCUCUGCCACAACACUCCUGCAUUUUCCAGGGAGUCAGGUGAAAUUCCUACCUCCUGCACCAAAAGCUGCCAGGCUGAGCAGACCUGUCGCCUGCAGCCAUCUCCAAUGCCAUCUCUUGUUUGCUCACAGCCAUUUCUGCCCCUUUAUCACACAUUGUGGUAAAUCAAGACACAUCUGCAGGGGCCAAGCAGUGCUUUGGUGUGACACUUGUCCCUAGAGCCUUCUGCGCAAGCAGGGGGGUUACAUGCCGGGGAGGCUGCAUGACAGCAGCAGGUAUCUGGCAGCAAGAGCAGGGAGAGGAGGUGUCUCUGGUAGAAAGCAGGAUGGAUUGGAACAAUGACUGUAGUAAAGCCAGAAGGAUGUAUGAGCUGCUUCUGGAGUGUUUCCAAGAUGUCAUACUGAAUAAAGGAAACUAUUUGUCUUCUGUUUAA